AAGCUCGUAGUUGAAUUUCGAACGAGGCUGGACGGUCCGCCUCACGGUGUGUACUGUCUGGCCGUGUUCUCUUUCUUGAUGAGCCAGCAUGCUCUUAACUGGGUGUGUUGGGGAACCAGGACGUUUACCUUGAGAAAAUUAGAGUGUUCAAAGCAGGCCUACGCCCGGAUACAUUAGCAUGGCAUAAUAAAAUAGGACGUGCGGUUCUAUUUUGUCGGUUUCUAGAGUCGCCGUAAUGAUUAAUAGGGAUAGUUGGG
rnacentral:rRNA from 1 species